GAAAGAAGCUUGCUUUUUUGCUGACGACCGGCGCACGGGUGCGUAACGCGUAUGCAACCUACCCUGUACUGGAGGAUAGCCCGGAGAAAUCCGGAUUAAUACUCCAUAGUAUUAUACUUUCGCAUGUUAGUAUAAUUAAAGGUUACGGUACAGGAUGGGCAUGCGUCCUAUUAGCUAGAUGGUAAGGUAACGGCUUACCAUGGCAACGAUAGGUAGGGGGCCUGAGAGGGUGAUCCCCCACACUGGUACUGAGACACGGACCAGACUCCUACGGGAGGCAGCAGUGAGGAAUAUUGGACAAUGGGCGCAAGCCUGAUCCAGCCAUGCCGCGUGCAGGAAGAAUGCCCUAUGGGUUGUAAACUGCUUUUAUUUGGGAAUAAACCCCUUUACGUGUAGAGGGCUGAAUGUACCAAAUGAAUAAGCACCGGCUAACUCCGUGCCAGCAGCCGCGGUAAUACGGAGGGUGCAAGCGUUAUCCGGAAUCAUUGGGUUUAAAGGGUCCGCAGGCGGAUCAAUCAGUCAGUGGUGAAAUCCCAUAGCUUAGCUAUGGAACUGCCAUUGAUACUGUUGAUCUUGAAUUCGGUCGAAGUGGGCGGAAUGUGUCAUGUAGCGGUGAAAUGCAUAGAUAUGACACAGAACACCGAUAGCGAAGGCAGCUCACUAGGCCUGGAUUGACGCUC
rnacentral:rRNA from 1 species